GGUACUGAUUAAUUCCCUGGAGGUUUUGAACUUUUUCAUAAAAUGAUCUGGUAGACCAUAAAAGAUGAAACUCACAGCGUGCUCUUUUUGAUAAGGUUCUUUUUAUUAGGUAUCUAUCUCACUUUUUACAUUUUUUUCUCUAGUUUCUUAGGUAUCAUGCAUUCAGGGGUGGAGGAAAUGACAGAAGCCUGUUCCCUAAGCUACUGAUCAAAGACUUCUACAGUGGAGGCUUGCCUCUGUUGAGUUGCUUAAGUAACACUAUUGUUGUACCUGUGAAGAAUCCAAAAUGCAAGAGGAUCUACUAAGAUUCAUAGAAUUGACAAAACGAAUUCACUGGCAUUGGAGUCUCAUGUGGACUGCUGAAGUUGAAAGACUGUCACAAAGGAAUUAGUGUAUGCAUGAAGUAUUUCCUGUUUUGCGUUUCUUAUUUUCCAAAACAUUUAGUCUGACAUGUCUUCUCGCUAUAGGUAGAGUGCAGCUCAACAGAAAGUGUGUUAUAUUUUAGGUUCCAAUAAAUUCAUGAAGUGUUAA